UAGGGAAUCUUCGGCAAUGGACGAAAGUCUGACCGAGCAACGCCGCGUGAGUGAAGAAGGUUUUCGGAUCGUAAAACUCUGUUGGUAGAGAAGAACGUUGGUGAGAGUGGAAAGCUCAUCAAGUGACGGUAACUACCCAGAAAGGGACGGCUAACUACGUGCCAGCAGCCGCGGUAAUACGUAGGUCCCGAGCGUUGUCCGGAUUUAUUGGGCGUAAAGCGAGCGCAGGUGGUUUAUUAAGUCUGGUGUAAAAGGCAGUGGCUCAACCAUUGUAUGCAUUGGAAACUGGUAGACUUGAGUGCAGGAGAGGAGAGUGGAAUUCCAUGUGUAGCGGUGAAAUGCGUAGAUAUAUGGAGGAACACCGGUGGCGAAAAGCGGCUCUCUGGCCUGUAACUGACACUGAGGCUCGAAAAGCGUGGGGAGCA
rnacentral:rRNA from 1 species